rfam:Eutrema salsugineum unplaced genomic scaffold scaffold_3, whole genome shotgun sequence.
ACAGCCUCCGAAUAACGAGAAGGUGAAAUAUAGGAACACUUUCUGGUUCAGACAGAGGCUUACAACAAAACUAGAAUCAGUUUUGAGGGUGAAAAAGCUAUACUCUUUUGCCAUCAAAAUCUUCUUCCUUUUCUUGGAAAGAUUCGAAUAUCA